GUUACGUGCUUUCAUGGAUUGGUGAUAGUUUAGUCAUCCAUAACAUCUUACAAAAUGUGAAUCUUGAAAACUAGCUGAAUUGAUGUUUUCACAAUUUUGCUAUGUGGUGUUGUGUAUCCUGCUUCUCAUGGGAAAUACAAUGGGGUGAUGAAUUUGUUUAUCCUUUCUAGCUGCAAACACCGACAUAAUUCAGUUUCAAAGCAUAUAAAAGGAAACCAAAAAAACUUACUUGUGAUUAGCUUAUUUAUACUUAUCCACCUUGUGAUCGAGGUUUAUUAUAGAACACUAGUUAUUUUGUAAUAUUGACCCUCUUGCAGGUUAGAAAUUUCUUUUGUUUGCUGCUUGCUCGUGUUUGUUUGACCUCAAAUUUUUGUUCAUCUUUAAGUUGUAGUGGUUUCUUGUGAGUCGAAUUAUGAUAACAAGUAAAAAUUUCAUGUGUUGUUUGAUGUUUUUAGUUGUUAGUUAUUUUUGUCUCUAUGGUUUGAGGUAGGGGUUAAGCCAUUCAGGUUGAAAGGCAAAUAGCAGACAGCCAAGCAUUUUGGUUUUUGUUUGUUUAUCUAUUAUAGUGCUCAAACGGCGUGUGAACGUCAGCUGUCAGAAAAUAUGAGCUGUUUUGAAGGAAUGUAUAACCUAUGCUUGAACAAGAUUAUGAAAAUGAAUCUCUUGGAAGAUCUCACUCACCUUGGACUUGCACACUUGUAGCAAAAGAGGAAAAAUUUAAAAAGAAAAGAGAAAACAGAUUGGAUACUGUGUCGAGAAACUAAGCUUAUGCUGUUGCUUUUAUUAAGCACUUUAAAAGUAUCCCUUGAUACCCUUUAAGUUUGUUUUGGACAUCUUAUUUUUUACAUUAGCCAAGGAGUGUUACAUUGGCCAAGGAGUGUACUUCUCAGAAUAUGGUAGUACCUAGGUUAUAGUAUUUGGUGACUAUCUCAAAUUUCCUGCAGCACAAUCGAGCUACACCUAGCUGUUAGGUUGUGAAUUCAGUGCUUCUCUUUUUCUGUAAAGCCCAAUUUUUAGCUGCAGGGCCCUUGUGGAUCUUUCGUAAGGAGGCCCAAGUCUAUUGUCAAUGCAAGCUGCUUUGAACAAGCUCUAUAAUUGAAGGAGAUUCCAAAUCCUUCUUAGUUUGAAAAUUAUUGCAUGCCUCAUAGUAUAAAUUUAGGUCCAUGUCCUUAUGUUGGAAGAAAACCCAAAUUUUUGUUAGCGUGAGUGAGGAAGUACUUGACCUAUUGAAUAAAAAUCAUUCAUUCAUUUAGUUGCUGGGUAUCACCGAAGUGAAUGGCAUGAGUAAGCAAAGGUUUUGAAAGAGCUUUGUUGAAAAAUCAAUUUUCAUGCAUGCCGUUGUUAUUUGUUGAUUUUAGACAGCUGCGAUUUGAUAAACACAGUAUUUGAUAUCAAUGUAGAAGUGUAUGAACUCAUGCUGCCGACCUGCUGUCCAAGGAUAAAAGUCUUUCUUCUUCUUACUUUUACUCUGUUGCUUUGGGUGGUGCCUCGGUGUUUGGGGUUUCAGGCUGGCUUAGUUGCAAAUGGGUCGGGAUGCAAGAAUUUUCUUCACCGUUGAACCCAUACAUAAGAAAGGAAUUUCCAGUUGUAUUCUCUUCCCUUGUACCAUAAACCUGAAAGAAUAAGCCCAUGGUUGAACUUAGCAAUGAUUUUAGAUUCAUUGUCUAUAUAGUCUUAACUUUUCAGAAUAUGAAGUUGGUUAAGUGAGUUACUGUGGUUGCCUGAAGUGUCUGAGUAAUCAAGUCUUAUUACCUUCUUGUACAACUCAAUGUUUUCUUGACGUAUGAGGUUUACCUUCUUAUACAGUUCAACAUUUUCCUUAUGAAAAAGGUUUCCCUGUGAUGAGAACUGGAAAAUUAAUAUUGGAAUGGAAAUAGGUUAUAACAGCAACUUGUGAGAAAA